rnacentral:tRNA from 1 species
GGGCCCUUGGCUUAAAAGGUUAGAGUCCCUGAUUGUCAAUCCGGUGUGUACCAGUUCGAAUCUGGUAGGGCUCG